rnacentral:lncRNA from 1 species
UGGCAAAUUGAAGUUAUUUGCACAGCAUCAGUAUGAGCUGGUAAGUACAUAUACGUACAUCUCUAAUAAUUUUUUAGAAUAUAUGUAUGUCUGUAUACUUACAUUCAUAAAUUUUAGAGAGACAUCGAGAUAGAGCAGCUGCCCGAGUGGAUUGACGUCUACCAGAGGACCUAUCAUCGGGCGAUGAGGGAGUGACUUCCUGAGACUAAGAAGAGGCAUGUAAGUAUUAAUUGAUUAAGUUCUAUAUUUCAAUUUCAUUAUGAAGUUUAAACUUUUGAUUACCUUUAUUUUUUUCUUUAAUUAGGAGC